GCUGGGCGUGGUGGUGCACGCCUGUAGUCCCAGCUAUUUGGGAGGCUGAGGCAGGAGAAUCACAUGAAUCCGGGAGAUGGAGGUUGCAGUGAGCCGAGAUCCCGCCACUGCACUCCAGCCUGGGUGACAGUGGGAGACUCUGUCUCAA
rnacentral:SRP_RNA from 1 species